GUUAUUCAGUCAACAUUUCAGGUACGUCUUCUGCUUGGUUUUGUAUUGUUGUACUUUAUCCUUGCAGCUUUGUUUCAUUAUGUGAAGAAUUUGAAUUUUGGCAAUCUUUUCCCACUGUGGGCAAAUAAUGUGUUCUCUAUUAAUGGCUACAUGUUUUGAUGUUUCACAAACCACUUGAGUAGUAAAAUAGAAAAGACUCUUGUUUUGGAUAGAAUGCAAAAUGCAGCACCUAAUAAACAAAAUUUGGCACUCUUUUGAUA
rnacentral:misc_RNA from 1 species